rnacentral:rRNA from 1 species
GAUGAACGCUGGCGGCGUGCCUAAUACAUGCAAGUCGAGCGAACAGAUGAGGAGCUUGCUCCUCUGACGUUGGCGGCGGACGGGUGAGUACCACGUGGAUAACCUAACUAUCAGACUGGGAUAACUUCGGGAAACCGGAGCUACUACCGGAUAAUAUAUUGAACCGCAUGGUUCAAUCGUUAAAGACGGUUUUGCUGUCACUUAUAGAUGGAUCCGGGCCGCAUUCGCUAGUUGGUAAGGUAACGGCUUAACAAGGCAACGAUGCGUAGCCGACCUGAGAGGGUGGACGGACAGAUGGGAUGAGAGACACGGCAGAGACACCGACAGUAGGCAGCAGUAGGGAAUCCUACGCGAGGGGGGAGAGCCGGACGGAGCAACGCGGGGGGAGGGAUGAUGGUUCUCGGCUGGGAAAACGCUGUUAUUAGGGAAGAACAAAUGUGUAAGUAACUAGGCAGGUCUUGACGGUACCGAAUCAGAAAGCCACGGCUAACUACGUG